GAUGAACGCUGGCGGCGUGCCUAAUACAUGCAAGUCGAGCGAACGGACGAGAAGCUUGCUUCUCUGAUGUUAGCGGCGGACGGGUGAGUAACACGUGGAUAACCUACCUAUAAGACUGGGAUAACUUCGGGAAACCGGAGCUAAUACCGGAUGAUAUUUUGAACCGCAUGGUUCAAAAGUGAAAGACGGUCUUGCUGUCACUUAUAGAUGGAUCCGCGCUGCAUUAGCUAGUUGGUAAGGUAACGGCUUACCAAGGCAACGAUGCAUAGCCGACCUGAGAGGGUGAUCGGCCACACUGGAACUGAGACACGGUCCAGACUCCUACGGGAGGCAGCAGUAGGGAAUCUUCCGCAAUGGGCGAAAGCCUGACGGAGCAACGCCGCGUGAGUGAUGAAGGUCUUCGGAUCGUAAAACUCUGUUAUUAGGGAAGAACAUAUGUGUAAGUAACUGUGCACAUCUUGACGGGACCUAAUCAGAAAGCCACGGCGAACUACGU
rnacentral:rRNA from 1 species